ACAUAACAUUGAUCAGUUGUGACGUUAAAACCAACAAAAACAAACAACUCGUACUCAUUACCUUGGAGCCGUCCGCAACUAGUAACCUAUUCAACGCUUCCCCAACCUUACACCAAAUAAUCAAGUCUUCAUUUAAAAUUUACUAUGCUUGAUUUAGCGCCUAAAUGUACGCAAAGUAAACUUAUUUUCUGACCGAAAUGUUUCAUUCCUAUAUAUUGUGCGUCGCAGAAAAUUCUUUGGUAAUCUUGUCCGUUUGUUAGUCUGUUUUCAGUUUUAAUAACGUUUUCUUUGACCUGGGAUAUUUACUCUUCUUUUAAAGGUUAUCUGAGGAAGGCAUAAGUUUGAUGGCCAAAGAAAAGAAAAUAUGUUGGAGACAAAGGAACACAGAAAGUUAACAGAUAGCCGGUAUGCAACCUUCCACAAUUCUGAACUACAGUUACCGGAAAAACUGAGAUAUCAGACGACCAUCGGCUUUUUAUUUUAUCUACCCAACUUAGCAGCACAAUGGUUUACAGCACAAUUGGACAUUUCGACAGGCCGGCUAUUGAAAACUUUAGGAAUCCUUUUGAUAUCAUUUAUUAUGGAGAUUUCACUCUGACCAUUGAGGAAAACACUGCAGGUUUUCACACAGAAGGCAAGCUAAUGCUGACGCGUGGCAAGACGGGCACCAUCCUCAAUUUCAGUGAGCCAAGACAACUUAUAAGAAUAUAUUUCAAGAGAAGGCGAUGUUUUAUCUUCAGGAAACCUGCAAAACAAAACCGUAUUUUCAAGCUGAUGAAAGUACCAAGAGACUGAUUUGAAACCAGA